GCUGUACGUCCAAGAUGGCGGCGCCCUGUAGGCUGGAGGGACUGUGAGGUAAACAGCUGAGGGGGAGGAGACGGUGGUUUGGUAGUGGCCCCAAUGAAGAACCUUCAGAACCUGUAGCACACGUCCUGGAGCCGGCACAGCGCCUUUGAGCGAGAGAAUGGCCCAACAAGCAAAUGUCGGGGAGCUUCUUGCCAUGCUGGACUCCCCCAUGCUGGGUGUGCGGGACGACGUGACAGCUGUCUUUAAAGAGAACCUCAAUUCUGACCGUGGUCCUAUGCUUGUAAACACCUUGGUGGAUUAUUACCUGGAAACCAACUCUCAGCCGGCAUUGCACAUCCUGACCACCUUGCAAGAGCCACAUGACAAGCACCUCUUGGACAGGAUUAACGAAUAUGUGGGCAAAGCCGCCACUCGUUUAUCCAUCCUCUCGUUACUGGGUCAUGUCAUAAGACUGCAGCCAUCUUGGAAGCAUAAGCUCUCUCAAGCACCUCUUUUGCCUUCUUUACUAAAAUGUCUCAAGAUGGACACUGACGUCGUUGUCCUCACAACAGGCGUCUUGGUGUUGAUAACCAUGCUACCAAUGAUUCCACAGUCUGGGAAACAGCAUCUUCUUGAUUUCUUUGACAUUUUUGGCCGUCUGUCAUCAUGGUGCCUGAAGAAACCAGGCCACGUGGCGGAAGUCUAUCUCGUCCAUCUCCAUGCCAGUGUGUACGCACUCUUUCAUCGCCUUUAUGGAAUGUACCCUUGCAACUUCGUCUCCUUUUUGCGUUCUCAUUACAGUAUGAAAGAAAACCUGGAGACUUUUGAAGAAGUGGUCAAG
rnacentral:sRNA from 1 species